rnacentral:rRNA from 1 species
CACCGGACCAUGCACAAGUCUCCUGGAACGGAGCGUCAUAGAGGGUGAGAAUCCCGUCUUUGGCAUGGGAUCCCCCGGGGCUUUUGUGAUGCGCUCUCGAAGAGUCGAGUUGUUUGGGAAUGCAGCUCAAAAUGGGUGGUGAACUCCAUCUAAAGCUAAACAUUGGCGAGAGACCGAUAGCGAACAAGUACCGUGAGGGAAAGAUGAAAAGCACUUUGGAAAGAGAGUGAAACAGUACGUGAAAUUGUUGAAAGGGAAACGCUUGGAGUCAGUCACGUCGACCGAGACUCAGCCUUGCCCCUUUGGGCUUGGUGUACUUCUCGGCCAACGGGCCAGCAUCGAUUUUGUCCCUCAGAUAAUGGCAAGGGAAAGGUGGCACCCUUAUGGGUGUGUUAUAGUCCCCUGUCGCAUGUGAGGGAUGGGAUUGAGGAACUCAGCACGCGCCUCUCGGCGUUCGGGGCUUUGGCCCACGCUUACGUGCUUAGGAUGUUGGCAUAAUGGCUCCAAACGACCCGUCUUGAAACACGGACCAAGGAGUCUAACAUGCCUGCGAGUGUUCGGGUGGAAAACCCGUGUGCGAAACGAAAGUGAAAGUCGGGACCUCUGUCGUGGAGGGCACCGACGCCCGGACCAGACCUUCUGUGACGGAUCUGCGGUAGAGCAUGCAUGUUGGGACCCGAAAGAUGGUGAACUAUGCCUGAAUAGGGUGAAGCCAGA